GUGCUUUGGCAGCACUCACACUAAAAUUGGAACAAAACAGAGAAGAUCAGUGUGGUCCGUGCACAAGGAUGAUACACAGAGUCAUGAAGCAUUCCGUAGUUUG